CAAAUUAUUUUAUUUAUUUAUUUUGAAAAGAAAAUUAUACAGUUUUUUAUGAUUAAAAUAAAUUAUAGAUUGUAUUAGCGUUGUGCAUUUAGAUAAGCGGUAAUUACAUUGACAUGUUUAGAUCCGUUAAACUUAUUUAAAAAAAUUGGAUAUUAAUUCUAAAAGUAACUUUACGAUUUAAAAUAUAUGGGAAGUGUAAUUUUUCUAAAUCUGGAUAUUCACCUUAGUUAUGGAAUCAGUAGAGUAUAUUCUAUAUAAUUUUAUUUUCAAAAAGUAGUAUAUGGAUAUAAUUAUUAGGUUGUAAAGUACUCUUAACAUUCUUAACAAACGAACCCUUAAAUAUUGAUGUAUAAUAUAUUCAUCAUAAAGAUGUUUAUAAUGUUAUAAAAAUUUAAUUUAUAUUAUCAUUAUACUAAAAUUAUAUCAAAAUUGAAGCAUAGCCAAAUUAUAUUAUCAAUAUACAUAGUAAAUAGACAGUACAUACCUUAUAAUAGUUAGUAAAAUUUGUAAUAUUAUAAUCAAACAAGUAAUAAAAAGGGAAUACGAACCUCAGUUAAACCAUCUACGUAGGAUAGAAAAAUCGUCCAACGGAAAAUCUGCAUUCGGACACGUCAGCACUGUUUGGGUAACGCUGAGCUUCCCUUUUUUUUAUGAGCUCUUUCUGAUUGUUUAUUGGGUAUAUUCAUUAAAACAGAAGAUAUUUUACUAAACUCGUGUGUUGGCCCAAAUAAGCGUCUUAGUCGUCUGAUCUCCCUCUUCAGUGUUAUAUAGGGUUCCUGGCGACUCUCCAUGGAACUGUUAACAAUUGAAGCGAAAAGUACUCCACAAAUCACUAUUCGACUUCCCUUCUCCAACCCUAUAUAUGCCGACCACCACCAACAAAACUUAAAGCAACAAUGGCUUUCUCUCAUAGAUCUUUAUUCUCUUCCCGAAGCUUCAGAGAUAUCUCAAGCGUCGGCAUCACCAAACUUCAGAGGAUUAUGAUUCAGACCAUUACUAUUACGUCAGAUGAAAUGAGAGAACCAACCGCUUACAUGUGAGAACUGAUACAUAGAGAAAUGUCUCACCAAUCGUUUCUGGACGCUCUCCUCCUGCAUAUUUAAACCUUGAUGAGUAGCUUCAUUCCUCAGCUCCUGAAAAUAUAUACGUAUUGGGGUAUAUUACUAUCACAUCAUCUUCCCAAGAAUGUAUUUGUCUUUGUUCAAGAAAUGUUCUUGGUAAUCAGUGUUUUAUUUUAUGUUCUUCAGAAUGAUGUCUUGACAUGCUGUUGCAUAUACUAGAAUUGACUACAAAACAACGUGAUUAUGUUAAGAGCUAUAAAAAUCGUAAUAUAACAUUACUUUUCUUAUAUGAAAUGUUUUUCCAUA